AGAGUUUGAUCCUGGCUCAGGAUGAACGCUGGCGGUCUGCUUAACACAUGCAAGUCGAACGCAACCUUCGGGUUGAGUGGCGGACGGGUGAGUAACGCGUGAGAAUCUGCCUUGGGGUCGGGGACAACCACUGGAAACGGUGGCUAAUACCGGAUAAGCCUUUGGGUAAAAAAUUUAUUGCCCCAAGAGGAGCUCGCGUCUGAUUAGCUAGUUGGUGAGGUAAGAGCUCACCAAGGCAGCGAUCAGUAGCUGGUCUGAGAGGACGAUCAGCCACACUGGGACUGAGACACGGCCCAGACUCCUACGGGAGGCAGCAGUGGGGAAUUUUCCGCAAUGGGCGAAAGCCUGACGGAGCAAGACCGCGUGAGGGAGGAAGGCUCUUGGGUUGUAAACCUCUUUUCUCAGGGAAGAAGCUCUGACGGUACCUGAGGAAUCAGCCUCGGCUAACUCCGUGCCAGCAGCCGCGGUAAUACGGAGGAGGCAAGCGUUAUCCGGAAUUAUUGGGCGUAAAGCGUCCGCAGGUGGCGAUUCAAGUCUGCUGUCAAAGCACGGGGCUUAACUCCGUUAAGGCAGUGGAAACUGAAUAGCUAGAGUGCCGUAGGGGUAGAGGGAAUUCCCGGUGUAGCGGUGAAAUGCGUAGAGAUCGGGAAGAACAUCGGUGGCGAAAGCGCUCUACUGGAC
rnacentral:rRNA from 1 species